rnacentral:rRNA from 1 species
UACAUGUGGGGCAAGCGUUGUUCGGAAUUACUGGGCAUAAAGGGUGCGUAGGUGGCUUGUUAAGUCGGGGGUGAAAGUUUUCGGCCCAACCGGAAAAUGGCCUUUGAUACUGGCGAGCUCGAGUGCGUGAGGGGUAACCGGAACGAGCAGUGUAGCGGUGAAAUGCGUAGAUAUUGCUCGGAAGGCCAACGGCGAAGGCAGGUUACUGGUACGCAACUGACACUGAGGCACGAAAGCGUGGGGAGCAAACAGG